UGUCCAGCAACUCCUAUCCAUCCCUCCUCGUGGUACUGGCCGAGGUACAAGCAGCCUUAAGGAAGAUCGGGUAACCAGCCCCGGUGGGAACUUUGGUCGUAUGCUGACAGGGAAGG
rfam:Aedes aegypti strain Liverpool supercont1.3 genomic scaffold, whole genome shotgun sequence.